rnacentral:lncRNA from 1 species
GAGCGCCCCUACUGCAACCCCCUUCGCUGCCUUCACCACCUCCAAAGGGGGCCGAGUCUUAGAGGUGGGCUUCGGCAUGGCCACAAGAAUAUGGAAGGUGCAGGAGGUCGCCAUCCAGGAACACUGGAUCAUGGAGUGCAAUGACAGCAUCUUCCAGCUGCUCCAGGACUGGACCCAGCAGCAGCCACACAAGGUCAUCCCCUUGAAAGUCCUGUGGAAGGAGGUGGCGCUCCCCUGCCAGGUGGUCGCUUUGAUGGGAUCCUGUAUGACGCGUACCCACUGUAGAAGGAGACCUGGCACACACUAGCUCAACUUCAUUGAGAACCACACUUUUCACCUGCUGAAGCUGAAGGGAGUAUUGCCCUCACCUCCUGCUACCUCACCUCCUACAGGCAGCUGAUGAAGUCCAAGUACUCAGAUGUCACCACCAUCUGAGACGCAGGUGCCUGUGCUAUUGGAGGCAAACUUUCGGGGGAAGAACAUCCUCAGGGCAGUGA